rnacentral:rRNA from 1 species
GUGUCAGCAGCCGCGGUAACACGUAGGGGGCGAGCGUUGUCCGGAUUUAUUGGGCGUAAAGAGCUCGUAGGCGGUUUCGUAAGUCGGGUGUGAAAACUCUAGGCUCAACCUAGAGACGCCACCCGAUACUGCGAUGACUAGAGUCCGGUAGGGGAGUGUGGAAUUCCUGGUGUAGCGGUGAAAUGCGCAGAUAUCAGGAGGAACACCAACGGCGAAGGCAGCACUCUGGGCCGGAACUGACGCUGAGGAGCGAAAGCGUGGGUAGCGAACAGGAUUAGAAACCCCCGUAGUCC